GACGAACGCUGGCGGCGCGCCUAACACAUGCAAGUCGAACGAGCGAGAGAGAGUUUACUUUUUCGAGCGAGUGGCGAACGGGUGAGUAACGCGUGAGCAACCUGCCUUUCAGUGGGGGACAACAGUUGGAAACGACUGCUAAUACCGCAUGAAGCAUAAUGAUCGCAUGGUCGAUAUGCCAAAGAUUUAUUGCUGAAAGAUGGGCUCGCGUCUGAUUAGAUAGUUGGCGGUGUAACGGACCACCAAGACGACGAUCAGUAGCCGGCUUGAGAGAGUGAACGGCCACAUUGGGACUGAGACACGGCCCAAACUCCUACGGGAGGCAGCAGUGGGGAAUAUUGCACAAUGGGGGAAACCCUGAUGCAGCAACGCCGCGUGAGUGAAGAAGUAUUUCGGUAUGUAAAGCUCUAUCAGCAGGGAAGAAAAUGACGGUACCUGACUAAGAAGCCCCGGCUAACUACGUGCCAGCAG
rnacentral:rRNA from 1 species